AAACAUGUAUAUACAAUGACAGCUAAUAGUAAAUGCAAUGAGUAGACAUAAAAUUUGUAUAUGUGGUCUCUCAGUGAUUUUUUUUCUGUACUAUGUGCAAACAUAAAAUGUUUUUAUUAUUGUACAUAAAUUCUUAAAUUAAUCUAUGUUUGACACUUGCUAUUGUUUUAAUUAAUCUUUCCUUAAAAGUAGUAAAAUGUGACACUAAAAUAAACAUCUAGAAGCAAAGAUCUUGACCAGAGAGGUUGGCACUUGUCUCUCAUUCUUUAUGUUAUCAUUGUAAGUAAAUAUUUUUCACAAUUACCAAAUCCAGAGGGCACAUGCCUAUAAUCUCAGUCACUCGAAAAGCUGAAGUAGGAGGAUUGCAAAUUGAAGGACAGAUACAGGAACUUAGUAAAAUUCUGUCUCAAAAUAAAUGAAAAGGGCUUAUACCGCAGUAGUAGACUGCCAUUGGCUCAACACACACACACGCACAUAGACACAAUUAAAUUGAUGAAAGCAUAAAGCAGACAAAAUAAACAGGACAGGAAUUCAAUUUAUUGCAGAAAUCACCAACAGAGUAAAAAGACAACCCAGAAUGGAAAAAAAUUUUAGCCACUUGUUCCUCAAACAAAGGACUAAUAUCUAGAACAUAGAGAAUUGAAAAAAAUCAGGCCCCCUCAAAUUUAAAGACUUGGUCCAAAAAUAGGCAUCUGAGAUGAACACAAACUUCUCAGAUGAAGUGCAAACAACAAAUAAAUAUAUGAAAAAAUGUUCAACAUCACUGGUCAUUUGAGAGAUGCAACUCUGAGAUUCCAUCUUAUUCCAGAAAGAAUGGUUAUUAUCAAGAAAUCAACUAACAACAAAUGCUGGUGGGGCUGUGGGGAAAAAGGAAGCUUUCUCCACUGUUGGUAGAAGUGUACACUGGUACACCUACUGUGGAAAUCAAUGUAGAGAUUCCUUAAAAAUGUAGGAUCAUAGGUCCCAUUUGACCCAGUAAGUCCCCUUCUGGAUAUCUUCUCGAAAGAAUUAAAAGCACUAUACCACAGCAAUACAUGCACACCCGUGCUUAUAGGAACAGUUUGUAACAGCUAAAUCAUGGAAACAACCCAAAUGCCCAUCAAUCUAUGAACAAAUAAAAAAGAUUUGUUUUGUUUUAUACAAUGGAGUAUUACUCAGCCAUAAGGAUAAAUGUGAAACAUUCCUAGGUAAAUGGAUGAACCUUAAGACCAUACUCUUAAGUGAAAUAAAUUGGAUACAUAUGUGUAAAUAUCACAUUAUCUUUCUGGUGUGAGAAACUGAAAGGGUAAAUACAUACCAAAAUGAUAAUAGAUAUUGUGAAAUUGUUUAAAAGGAAAGGGGAACUAGGAAGGAGUAGGGGGAAAGGAAGGAAGGAAAAAGAAAAAGAAAAAAGAAGAAUAAAAUGGAAACAACUUUGUAAAUAAUGAGGAGAAGAGGGGUUGAAAGGAGAGGAGAGGAAUGGGAAAAAAGAAGAACUUAAGAUAUAUCAUGUACAGGUACAAAUUGUCUAUGAUGAAUAUGAUCAUUAUAUAUAUCUAAAUGGUACCAAUAAACUUAAUUUUUCAAAAGCAGAAAAAAAGUUUUUUUAAGUUCAUUAAACUAACAUUACAAAUAUUUGAACCAGG
ensembl:lncRNA